UCUAAACAGAAAGGCAACCUUGAAGAAAUGAGUAAAAUGCCAAUUGAAACGGGCAGUGGGAAAAAGGGCUUGUGGAAUUUUUUUUUUAUUGUCAAUGCAGGAUAGUUGCAGACAUUGUUUAUCAACUUCCGACAGGCCCCUGCUGUUACCUUAGCUCUGACAGUCUUGGUUGCAAACGUGAGAAUGGAGCAGCAACAUCGGCGCGCUGUUCAGAGUUGAUGCAAUCUCAUGGGGCCGCCUAUCACAUUCAUUGCUUGCGGUGCAGCUGCAAAAGUGAAAUAGCAGAAUAACGUUUCCCAUAGGGCUGACUUAAAUCUUUACCUCUGUUCUUUGCUUGUCUGUGCUCCCACGCUGUAUCACUUAGCUGUUUUCUUUUCCCCCCGGCCAACCUUUUGCCUCGCUUGUAUCCUAGCAGUUGCAUUUAGUGAGCAAUUGUGCUGCACGAGCAACGUCGUAGCUUCACCGCGCCGAAUCAUUUUCUACAACCAAGUGUGUUUAUUUUGGAGCCAAGUUUGCCAGCGUAAUUGGUGAGCUCACCGAUCCUGCUGAUGUUAAACCAAGCAAAAAGUUUGGAUUAUUUUCAAACAAAAAAUUUGAUCCAUCAUUUAUGGCCUCACCUAGGGAGCUAAAACUAAACAUGUCAAACAAAGUCCGGAUUGAUCCUCUUUUCUCCCUGCCAUGAGCAUGAAGCAAUCAGCACGCUUGACGCAAUCUCCACCAACCACAGCACAUCAACAAUAAGCGGCUUCUUUGCAUUUGACGACCGCUUUCCAAAGAAAAAGCAUAAAUCCCGCACCCGUAAGCUUUUCCAAAGAAAGAAAAGCAUGCCGGUGCAGGCGAAACGUUAUUAGCUAAGGUUAUUGUGUUGACCCGGCGCCGGUAGCCCCGAAAGCACUGCAAGAUUAACGUCAAAGACAAUUACCUGUUAAUCCAGGACGGGCAUAGUGCCAAUGCAUAGUAGCCUACAGUUUAUUUGAAGGAUAAUUCCAUAUCGGUACUCGGUUGAUAUGUUUUAAAGUUUUUUUUUUUUUUUUAAUAGUACCCUAACUUGAUAUUAGAAUGCAUUUUGUCCUUCAGACCGGGAAACUCCAAAAUUGUCAUCUUGCGAAACAAAUGAAAAUGAUCCUAACAACAUGCCCAAACAUCCCCCCAAUAUAUUUAUUCUCACAGAGCUCUCCUUGCAUCUUCUUUUGUUUUUCUUUCACAGCAAUUUUACUUUUUCAGUCUGAUAUCUCAAUCAAAAAUACCUGUGACAUGAUUAACAACUACAUAGCAUGGGAUUGACAGAGAUAAAGGUGAGGUGGGGCGUAAAUCUCUCAGCAAGAAUUUACAUUCACCCCUGAUAGUCCCUGUGGUAGCACUAAAAGGUCAUGAAGCCGCAAAUAUCGAGCUGCCCUGUUUAUAUGUGUUCCGGGUUUCUGAUUUUGCGCCUGGCCAUUAGUUUAGAAUCUAAACAAAGAGCUCCUUGUGAAUAAUUCACAUGCUUUAUGAUGCUCAUUAUGGAGAAUGACUGCAUCACAACCUUUGAUUAUCUUCAGCAGACCCAGGAAUCUUAUCGAAAUGCAAAUUUGAAUUAUUCAAACUGUUUUACUACGAAGCUAUGGUAAGGCAUGAAGAGUGUGGUUUGGAGUUGGCCCCCCUCCCGCUUCCAACAAAACCCGACGCACCAGUGCACAUGGUGGUGCAUAAACUUGACUGGCCUCCAGAGUCCUGACCUCAACCCAUGAGAACACGUUUGGGAUGAAUUGAGUAUUGUUGUUCUAUCCAACAAUGUAUCAAAAAUGUUAAGGGGGACAUUUUUUUUAAACAAAUACAAAUAUAUCAUCAAGUGGUUGCACAAAAUGAAAUCUGGAUUCAGACACGUUUAUUGUUAGAUUAAUAGUCCACUUAAAAAACACUUGUGGAUUUUUGACGUUUUUAUUUUGUGCAACCGUUUGACGAAAUGAAAUGUAAUUUCAGGAUAUUUUUUUCCAUGUUUUACAAUACUGUCAACUGUGUUGUGUUCAGCUUUCCACAUUCCACCGUAUUGUCAUUGUUCAUGGCCUUGACGUUUUUUGGGUUGUAUACGUUUUUUCUCUUUUUGUGUUUACUGUUUGUUAUCGCACGUAGUAACACACACUGUGGUGUGGAUGAAACACAAAGGCAAAGAUAAAAGACCUUUCAGCUUUGUUUGAAUCUGAAUUCUUUAUUCUUCCUUUUUAAUUUACUGCUGUCUGUAACGUUUUGAACUCCGCCAGAUAGGAACUUGCAAACAUUUUAACAGACCAGUAAAAAAGCGUGUGUGGUGUCGUUAAAUGCCUGCAGUUGUCUUUUCAGCUUGUGUUUUAUCAUUUGUUCCCAGUUAAUUACAGGGCCUGCUGGAACGCACAGUUUCGACUCCAGAGUAAAAGUGGUCGUGUGGCUCAUAAGAACUUGCUUUGGCUUAGUAAACACAAGAAUGUGGCUCUCGCACUCUCUCUCUCUCUCUCUCACUGCCCUUCCCUAUGCUGAGUUGUGUUUCUGAGCCUUUGGCCGAGAGACAAAGGCAGGCAGGGGUGUGUAUAUUUCCUGUCGGCUCUUCCUGUGCCUCCAUUGUUUUGCAUGUGGAACGCUGCGGUGCACCUAAUCGCUUUUUGAAGGCUCGUGGUGUCCCAAUAUAAUGAUGCUCGGGAAACAUUUAUUAUAAUUGCUGGAUUCGUUUAGAUUUUAUGGCUCGGUUGAAACAAUCGUGCUUGUAAAAGGGCACUUAGGUAAAUAUUGUGAGUCACCUAUAAAAAAGAAGUUGUAUAAUACAGGAUAAUCAUGUUUGAUGCUUUUUUUAUGGUUCUAAAUGGGCAAAAAUGCUAAUUAACCACAAACUAACUUGAAAUCCUCUUUGCCUUAUUGAGUGAUACUCAUGAAAGUUCGGAACAUUCAGAGAAAUUCUUAAACAAAAUAGAUAUAACAAUAACAAAAGAU